AAUGUUUAUAAGAAAUGUGCUUAAAAUAUAAGGAUACAGGCAGGCUAAAGUACAACAGAAUAAGUUACACCAAAAAGCUAUGAAUCAAAAGAAGUGCCAUAGCUACAUUAACAUCAGAAAAAAUAUAUUCUAAGGCAAAAAUAACUAUAGAGGAUGAAGAAAGUUCAUGACCUAGUGAUAAACGGGACAACUUGUCAGGAAGAUAUAGUAAUGAUAAACUUACAUGCACCUAACAGCGUAGCCUUAAAAUAUAUAAAACAAAAAGUAAUUUUUAAAGCCUGAUUGCUUAGAAUAUAAAUUGCUGUGCAUGUACUAUUUACCCGGGUCUUAGAGAUCUUCUAUUCUCAGCAGAAACCUUUGCUGCAAAUAGCAGGUGGUAUUAAGUCUAUAACGCCCUCACCAAACAGGUCUUAAAAUAUGAAAUAAUUUCAAAAAGUUACCUACACGUCAGUUAAGACAAUUGGUCUCAGGCAGCAAAACAAGAACUAGCACAGAGAAGCUCUCAUUUGACUCAGACUUGUUCCCAAUCUUUCUCUCCCUCUUCUUUUGCCAACAGCCGAGGCUACCCACAGGUCCAGCCCCAACCACACUUCCAGCAUCAAUUCAGACUUCCAGCAGAAAUUGAUGGACCUCUCUGGUUGAACAGCACCUGCUAGCUCAACAUUGUUAUUCUUGCUACCAGUAAAUUUGGCUUUUCCACUCCUGUUUAAUUUAAACCCUUGACUUGCUCAUACCAAUCUCCUUCUCAAGGCCUUGGUCCCUGAAUCACACUUUUACUACUCAACUGCUAGACUUCUGAGCUGGACCCUGAAUUCUGGUUGGUGUGCUCCACCUGCCAGGAACAGCGUCAAACUCGGGCAGGAGCUUCUAGGACUUUCACAAGUCUCUUGUCUCAUUCUUUCCCCAGUAAAUCUGGGACCUUGGGCCUCAGUAGCUGCUGAUCUCUCCACUCCUACAGAGAGGAGGGAAGACUCAACGGUCAAGGCAACUGGUGGACAAGGAAACUCAUAUUAAGAACAUGCCAGGUCAUGAUUGCUGGGUUUCCAGGGCCCCUAUAUCAAUUGUUGACCAAAACCCCAGGGUGUUUCUGAAAUAAUUUGCUUGCUUGAUAAUCUCCAUGGUGAGUUCAGGCACCUUUCAUCUGCCUUCCCAUUCUUUGUCUUCAUUGUGCUGCUCACGUGGAACUCUCACUCUUGUUUAACAUUAACUCAAACAAAUGCAAAAUUCAAAGUAUACCAUUUUGUCACUUUAGGAAGAGAAAAAGGGAGAGAAAGGAAUAAGAAGAGGAGAAUAAGAAAAAGGAGUAAAAGGAAGAGAGGAAGUGAAAGGAGAACAUAAUCUCUCUGGGCUUCAUUUUGCUGAUCUGUUAAAUCAGAGUAUGGGACUAAGUAAAUUCUCCUUAACAUUCUCCGGAUGUUAGAAUUUGUAAGGAAAGCUCUGGACCCUCCUUUAAAGGUGCAUGUGCAAACACAGCUGUAUGUCCAAGGAGUUGAUUAGAUUGGAUCUCUAUGGUUCCUUCCAGCUCUGUGGGAGCAAUCCCAUUAUAAACUGAAAUCAAGCCUCUUUUAUUGCCAUCAAAUUCUGGUUCUAAUUCAAGGGAGUGGUGGAGAAAUAAUAAUAUUGGUAGUUGUUUGCUUAGCAACCUACAGGUGAAAAUCCAAAUGAUGUCAAACGGUAUUAAGUACAUGAUCAUUAUUCCAAGUAUUUUAACAUACCACAGG
rnacentral:lncRNA from 1 species